GAAGCUGGCUAACAUCCUGAGCAUAGCAGACCUCAAGUGAUCUUAGAAACUAAGCAGGGUUGGACCUGAUUAGUACUUGGAUGGGAAACCAACAAUCAAAUACCAGGGAUCUUCA
rnacentral:rRNA from 1 species